GAUCAAGGAAAACCAUGCGAUUAAUGUCGGUUUGAUCCGACGGCCCAGAUUCAUCUGAAAAGACUAUAUAAGCAAGCCCCCUGGCCCCUGGAGAUCAUACCUCUUCUACAGAAUCAAAGUUAGGGUUUCAAUUCUUCAUCCAAGUAGAGAGGAUCCCUCUAGUUCAUCUAGUUCUAGUUCUAGUUCAUCUAGUUCUAGUUCUAGUUCUAGUUAGUUCUAGUUAUAAUCUAGAAAAUAGGGAGAGAGAAGAGGAGAGCGGAGGAGGAGGAGCCAGAUCUGUCGGAUCUUCCUCAACAUUGUACUUUUGCAGCAACUGGUUCGUUCUUCAUCGUUCUCUAGGUUCUUCAAUUCAUAAUUCCUGAGUUCUUUAAUUACUUUUAUUUACGUUCAAGUUAUUUAUUGGAUUCCCGCUUGCAUCAAGUGCUCUAAUCUUUGAAACAUUAGAGUAGUAAUUAAUAGAUUAGACGUGGUGUUUAGUCUUGCAAUUACCUGGAAUUGCACCCAAUCCUGUGGAUUGUUGUGGUAGCCCUAGGGUAGUGACAGCCCUAACGGUCGACGUAUUCCACCUCGUUCGGAUCGGUGUUUGUAGGACCGUAGUCAGACCUUCCUAGCCCCCUUCUCAUCUCUUUCUGUGGUUAGAGCUCUGAUGUCCCGAAAUAGAUAAUCUUGAAGUAAUUCUUGAUUCUUAGAUCAACUAGAGAACUCUCAGGAAACUUCCUCUCUUCCCACCAAAAAUAAUUAUAUAAGUUAUCCUUGGACGAUCUUGAAUCUUAAUUAGUACACUCACGUUUCCUGUGGAAAAUCGAUACUCUGGAAUACUCCCGGGUGAAGGCUACAUCGGUAUCCGUGCGCUUGCGGAUUUUUCUGUUUGCGUUUAAAAUACCCAACAAGCUUUCUGGCGCCGUUGCCGGGGAACGGUAGCUGUGCUAGUUUCGAACCAAGUCGUCCGUGUAUCCUUUUUCUUUUCCUCUUUUUACCACACUCACCUUACCAUUUUCACCAUACCACAUGGAUUUCACUCCAAACAUUAAUGAGCAUGGAAUUUAUUUCAUAGCCACUUCAUUUACUCCAUGCUCAUAUGUAAUAUCUUCACAAUCCAUUGGUCUCUCCAACAUCACCACAUUCGAGAUCUCCAACCCCCUCUUCCUUUCUAUUUAUAAAAACUUUAAAAGGGCGGUUGUCGAUGCAUAUGUCUAUAAUAAUUUUUGCAGAUCUCAUUGAGUUGAUCUUGAUAUAGGUCAGCAUUGGAGGGGAAACCACUUCGCCGACAUCAAUUGAUGGUUUCCCAAGGACAAGCUUAGUGUCCUAAAAUAAGCACUCAUCAGAUCAUAACAUGAGCUUUUAAUUAUUUGCAACCUUACCUUGUGUAUUGACCAUAUAAGGAUAAUUGUAAAAAAAUUCCUUCGGGUAUUCUUGUCACUAACCUUUCCAGGAUUGGAGCAAGAAGAUCAGAUGAAUGACAAGCACAAGGUAUGUCCAACCAAUCAUCAUACAACAUUGAAUUAAAUUCAUCCAAACUUGAAUUUUGCAAAAAUUAAGCUUGAGGGAGUACUUUACAUUAAAAACAUCCUUUGCCAUGUUGCUAUGUUGGUUGUCCCUACCUUUGAGACAUGCUCAAUUUGUUAAAUACUAAUCACAUUACUUCAUCUCCACUUGAGUAGAUCUCUAUAAAUGCUCUCAUGCUACCUUUAUUUGCUUUAGUAUAUGUCUAGGUUUGGAGUAGUUUCAUUUAUCUCUUAAUUAAGCAUGGUGCUUAGUUUAGGGCUGAUGAUCUUACUUCCAAGGGAGUUUAAAUUAAGCAUGAUGCUUAGGUUAAAAUGUCCUCCUAAAUCAAAUUAGACAUGGUGUCUAGGUUGAUCUUUGAGCCGAUAGUAUGCUAUAGUAGAUAUUGGAUAUUUUGUUGGACUAACCCCUGUAGGAAAACUUUCAAUAUUGACCUGGGAAGUCCUGAGAUAAACUCACAUUGGAGACAAAGAGAGAGACGCAUGAAGGUUAACAAUUUAUACAAGGAAGGCAUAACUCACAAGAGAUGAUCCAUGGAGGGUGUCACAAACACGAUGCACAACCGCUAAGAAAGGGGAGAUUGAAAGCCCUAGUUUGGUUUUGGAUAAUUGAUGAAACCCUAGUACUAACCUUUAUACUAAGUGUGUGUAGACUUAAUGAGGUUGGUACAUGCCAAGUGAUGGAGCAAGUGAUGAUCAUGGUGAUGAUGGUGAUGACCACAAGAUGAUCAAGUGCUCAACUUGGAAAAGAAGAAAGAGAAAAACAAAACCCUAUGGAGAUCAAGGCAAAGGUAUUGCUUAGGGUUUUGGUUUUGGUGAUCAAGACACCAUAGAGGGUGUGAUCACAUUUAGGAUAGAUAGCCGUACUAUAAAGAGGGGAAUUCUUUGGCUAAGCGGUUAUCAAGUGCCACUAGGUGUCAUUGUUCAUGUGCAUGCAUUUAGAACCUAGUGAGCUAACUUAACUCCUUCGAAGAAAUUGUUUGUGAAAAUGCUAACACACGUGCACUUGUUGGUGUACACACGUUGUGGUGUUGGCACACUUUGAGAAGGAGGCCGAGCUUGCGAGGCGGGAUUCGGCGCUUUUCGAGAAAAUGAAGUGCAUAUUUUCUAUUGCGCCGGUGGGAAAUUUGGAGAAGUCGCGGGAGUGUUUUCUCGCUGAGGAACACUCACCGGACGCUGACUCAGAAGCACCGGACGCUGUUCCUGUGCGUCCGGUGAGCAGGCAGCCUGACUCGGUUAGGGUUAGGCACCGGACGAUAGGCACCGGACGCAGCUUGGAGCGUCCGGUGGGGAGCGUCCGGUGUGCGGGCUUUUUGCGACCCUCUCUGGGUGUGAGUCCGGUGAGCACCGGACGGUCUGGUGGCUCGCGUCCGGUGACCCUGCGAGUUUGCGGAGCUCUCUGCGCACGGGUCCGGUGUGCACCGCCUGCUCAGCGUCCGGUGCUCUGCAGGUUACCGUUAGACUCUGACACACGGCUGACGUUGGAGCACCGGAUGCUGGUGUUGAGCGUCCGGUGCCCCUUUAAGAGCGUCCGGUGACCCCGUAUUUCGCCCAGUGAAAGAGCCAACGGCUCUAUUUGUUUGAGGGGCUAUAAAUACGUGUUUGGCCGGCUUGGGGCUCACUCCCUUGGCAUUCUAGCAUACUUGACAUUCUUGUGAGCCUAAGCAAACACCUCCCACUCAUCUCCUUCUUAGUUUAAACAUCUUUGUGAGAUUGGGAGUGAUUCCAAGUGCAUUUGCUUGAGUGAUUGCAUCUAGUGGCACUUGGGGAUCGUUUUAGCUGCGGUUUUCUUGUUACUCUUGGUGGUUGCCGCCACCUAGACGGCUUGGAGCAGCGGAGGAGUUUUGGCACGAGUUGGUGAUUGUUCGUGGCCAUCUCUCGGUGAUUGUGAGGGGUCUUGUACCUUCCCCGGCGGAGAGCCGAAAGGUAACUCUAGUGGAUUGCUCGUGUCAUUGAGUUACCUCACUUGUGGGUAGGUUCUUGUGGUGUCCUAGUGAGGACGAGGUUCGUGCUACACCUCUUAGCCACCGAACCACCAAGUGUUGGUCGACACAACGGGGACGUAGUGUGCCGGCAAGCACGUGAACCUCGGGAGAAAAAUCGGUGUUUCAAUUGUGUUUGAUUGACAUUCUCCCGGUGCUUGAUUGUUUAUAUUGGUGAUUGGUUCAUCCCCUACUCGGUGGUAUAAUUAUCUCAUCCACUCUUUUACAUUCCCGCAAACUAGAGUAGCGUACUUAUUUGUAUAGAAACUUUAGGUAGCUUUCUAUUGUAAGUAGUGACAUAGCUCUUGAGUGCCUAGUGAUUAUAUCAACUAGAAUUGUUGGAUAGGUGGCUUGCAAUCACCCCAUUAGAGCUAGAGCAAAAAGCUUCGCUUUGUUAUUUACUAACCUCUUGCUCUAGUGAGUUUGUAGAAUUUUUAAAUAGGCUAUUCACCCCCCCUCUAGCCAUAUUAGGACCUUUCAAGCUUCCACAAGGUGAUACUGUACCAUCACUCUUCAAGUAAGGUAACAUCUUAAGGUACUUGACUAUCACUUUUUAUAAGCUUCUCAUUGGUUCUGGUGUUCACAUGAAUAAAAGAGACAAACAUGUAUGAUUUACAACUCUAGAUUAACCAAUCCAAUCGAUUCAAUAUGUUUAGUCCUUCCACCUUUGUGAUCCCACACUCCUAAUCAUAUGAGGUAAAAUGUUGCACACUCAAUCUUUGGAAGAUAUAUAAAAAAACAACAUAAAUAUAGAUAGAUUAUCUUUCCAUUAGGUUGAGUGAUCUGAUCUGACAAUUGUUUUAAAUGUUAUACUCAUGAUCUUAUUAUCCAUCAACUUUGUCUUGCUCACUAUGCUAAAGGUUAGAGAAGAACAAAUACAUUUUUGGUUCUGUUGGUGUUUUCCACCAACAGGGCCCAUACACUUGAUCUCUGCCUUGUCUCUAUGAGCAGGUACACUUUGAGCAAAAUAUGAAAGAGUUUUUCAACUCCCAGACUCCACCAAGUGAGAACCUAGAUCUACGAGCACAAACACACUGAAGAUACUGGACACUCAGGCAAUCACUGCCCUGAGAUGCUUGAGGACGUAACUACUGGAGUAACCCCGUUGUGAAAGUAAUUACUGACCUUCUGCCGGUCAAGAGAGACAAUCCAGGACGCCCCGUCAUCCCGGUCUCCAUCGGCAUGGUGGACUUCCUAGAAGCACUCUGCGACCUUGGCUCCAGCGUCAACAUUAUGCCAAGGGUACUCUAUGAAAAAUUCUUUACACAUCCUUUAUGAGAAACAACCAUGUAUUUGCAGCUUGCAGAUCAGACACUAUGUUUCCAAAAGGGAAUAUUGAAGAACCUCUACGUCCGAGUUGGUACCUUAUACACUCUAGCAGACUUCGUGGUGAUAGAGACUGGUACUGAUGAGAGGGCACCCAUCAUCCUAGGGAGGCCAUUCCUGAACACCUCAGGAGCUGUCAUCUACGCUAGUGCUGCCAAGAUCAGUUUCUACAUAAAGGGAAGGAAGGAGACGUUUUCCUUCAAGAACAAGACUACACAAAUCUCAGAGCAUUCCCGACAUGAACCAAGGAAGAGGACCAACAGGAGGAACAGGAACAAGCAAGUGUGGACCGAGUCAGCUAAGAUGGUCACUGCAGUUCAAGGAGGUCAAGAUCAUCUAUUUAAGUCACCGUUCCUGACCAAAAAGGACGACCCAGGCAUGCCAAGCAUCCAGUGCUCCAUUAAUGGAUACAACUUCUAGAAGAUGCUUUGCGACAUCGGGUCAGGCGUGAACAUAAUGGCCGCAGUCACCUAUCAACUCCUAUUCGGAACCAUGCCACUAAAACUGACAUACAUUCAGCUCCAGAUGAUUUUAAGGUUAUUGACAUGGGAGAAGACGAGUACAAUCCACCCAUCACCCUUGGAAGACCGUUCUUUAGCACCGUUAAAGCAAUCAUAUACAUUGGAACCAGAGAAGUCCACAUGCACUUCCCCUCUGAGAAGGUACGCCACUGUUUUACUGACCCUAACUAUAUAGUUGAAGACUCUAAGCAGGUCAGGACAAGAAGAAGAUGACGCAACCCCAACCAGAGGAGGCAAAUCAUCAAGGACGGAUGGGCAGACUACGAAGGAGAAGUGGUAAGGUUUGAAGACAUACAACUUGAACAGAACUGUCCUAAGGAGACCGUAGCACCGAGUCAGGUGUGGAGAGAGAAGAUAGUUAUACACGAAGAGCAGGCGCCGCCGGAACCACCGACUACGCCAUCCAGCGAAUCCCAGGACGAUUGAGAAAACGGAGAGUCCCGUUCGGAGGACUUAAAAACACCAAACGCCUUGCCAAGAGGUAAACUUGGUAAUUAUCCUUUUCCUUUCAAUUAUUUAAAAUAGUUUGCUUAGUUAAUCAGGUUCAUAUCAUCUUGAAAAGGAAAUGAAAAUGUUAAAAAUAGUAAGCCCCAUGUGAGUAUGCUCAUGGCAUAAAACCCAUAAGUACAUUCACUGUGGUGGCAUAAACAUAAAAUAAAUAUAUUCCUAUCCUAUAAAAAUGAAAAUAUAAAAAUAAAUUUAUGAUCCUACCAAAGAGUAUAACAUUUAUUGAGGAGGCUCAACAUGAUAAAGGCUAGAUAUUUAUGCUAACACUUAAUUAGUUCCACAAAGCUUUGUUGUCUAUUUGAGCUCCGCACAAUUCAAGGAUCAAAGAAGACUAGCAGACGGAGGACAUCCUAAUCGCUGUCAGGGUGCUGUCGACAUUCAAAUAAACCUCCGCCACCUGCUAGCUACAUCAGGAGAAAUUACGUCAAAAUCCAGCUUGGGGGAGAGCACUCCCAUUUAUCUAGCUAAGUGUUUCUACUCACAUUUAUACUUUACUCAAAUAAUAAAAAGAUGCAUAAUCAUGAAAACCCAAAUAAAGAUUCUGCGUUGUUUAGUUUGCUAAAUAAAUAAAUAAAUAAAGUUUGCUAUGAACUCUCAUGAUAAGCUCUCACAUGGAAAUGAUGAAUAGUUGCUCUGUCAUGACUAGUUCUCAAAAUUGAAAUCUCUCUCAAGUUUAGGCUUGACUGUUAUGAAUUAAGAUUUGAUCUAAACCUGACUUGUGGGGAGAGUACUUGAUCUAAAGUCUAAUUGUUAACGGAUACGAUAUGGGAAGGUUGAGCUGCUGUUUAUCUGUUACUAGAGAUGCUAGAAUUCUGGAGAAUUUUAUCUUUGAAAAUCUUUAAAAUGUUGCAUGAUGAGUUCCUGUAUGAUGAGAGUUUAAAAUCCUAUCACAGCCAUAUAUACAAGCUUGCUAGACUUUGAGCCACACAUUUACUUUUUACUGCUUAUGAGCAUUAAGUGUGGUCAAGCUGUUUAGACCCUUAAGAGCUUGUCAUGUGGUUAAAUCAAGAUUCACUUGCACGUUCACUCAUACAUGCUGCUUCUACUCCGGAAGUACGCAUCCACAUACAUCCACUCAUUUCCAUCUCCAAAUUCACCCAAAAUUAUUCUACUCCUAUCUAGGAGAGAAUAGCCAAAAACAUUAUUCCAUCCCUAUUAUUCUCUAUGAAAUAAAUGCUCAAGUUAUCUUGGUUACUACCACUUGCUAUAUUAUUUCAAGAGAUGAGUGCUCUAAAAAAAAUAAAAAAAGAAGAAGAAAUAUGAGGAAAUAAAAAGGGGCAAGUGCCCGGAACCUCGAAGAAAAAAAAAGUGAGACGAGAGGUAAAAAUGGACAAGUGUUCGACAGUAGAAUUAGAGGUACAAGAUACCCACCUGAAAGAAAAAGAAAAAGAAAAUAUAGAGCAUCUCAUUCCCCCUCAAAAAGCUCCAAAGAGCAAGAAAGAUAUGUAUCCCCUCAAAAGAGCACAAGUAGAAUUAGACUUUCACCAUUGUUAUCAUCAUCAUUACCAUGCAUCAUUCAUUCGCCACACAUGCACAUCUUGAUUUGACUUAUUGACUUGUUCUUCUGGAUCCAUGGUUUGACUAUGCAAUAAAUGUCUUGUAAGUAUGUAUUAGCUGUCUCCCACCUAUGAGCUCCAGAUAUCAAAACCUUAUUAGAGUAGGGUGAGAGAGAAAGCAAUGCCACUAUGCCUCAUACCAAAAAUACCACAUACUUUGAGAGAAGGUAUACACCAUGACUGCCUUGGUAAGGAUCCAGAAAUACCACAAAAGAGAGACUAGAGAGAGUCAUACAAGGAAUCUCUGAGUUUUAUUUUGAAAAUCUGCAAAAACUCCAGAGUUAUAGUUGAUCAAGAAUAAGAGACAUGGCGCUUGACUAGACCAUUCUAUCUUUUAACUGCUCAAGACACAAGUGACGGUUGCAAGCCCCAUGAUGGAAGGUAAAAUGAGUAAGUUUAAAUCUUAACAGUUACCCUAACCCAAAGAUGAGAUCUUGUUUGAACGCAUGUGUAUCUUUAAGGCAUGAAACCACUGCAGAAGCUCUUGAGUUCAUCUUUGCUCAGGGACGAGCAAAGUUUAAGCUUGAGGGAGCUUGUUGACGGUCCUUAAUGCUCAUAUUUAACCAUCAAUUAAUCAUGGAAAAGGAUCCAAAUGCAACCAACACCUAGACUUAUGGUUUUAUCUGACAGAAUUCCACGAGUUUUGGUGUUUGUCUAUUUCUGCAGGGGGUUAUCAGGAAAUACGGAAGAAAGGCCCACACGUCGGGUUUACAUAGAGAUAUUAACGUGCCAAACAAUUUUAUAUCAUCUAGAGGACUCCAGAAGCCACGGGAACGAAGCGGAGGCCGAGAGGGCUCAGGGCAGGGCGCCCGUCCUACUCUCCUCGGCGCCCGCCCUCACACAGAGUCCAAUCAGGACACGUUUCGGGGAUUAUGCUCCACCGACCUAAUGGAUCAAGGAAAACCGUGCGAUUAAUGUCGGUUUGAUCCGACGGCCCAAAUUCAUCUGAAAAGACUAUAUAAGCAAGCCCCCUGGCCCCUGGAGAUCAUACCUCUUCUACAGAAUCAAAGUUAGGGUUUCAAUUCUUCAUCCAAGUAGAGAGGAUCCCUCUAGUUCAUCUAGUUCUAGUUCUAGUUCAUCUAGUUCUAGUUUUCUAGUUCUAGUUAGUUCUAGUUGUAAUCUAGAAAAUAGGGAGAGAGAAGAGGAGAGCGGAGGAGGAGGAGCCGGAUCUGUCAGAUCUUCCUCAACAUUGUACUUUUGCAGCAACUGGUUCGUUCUUCAUCGUUCUCCAGGUUCUUCAAUUCAUAAUUCCUGAGUUCUUUAAUUACUUUUAUUUACAUUCAAGUUAUUUAUUGGAUUCCCGCUUGCAUCAAGUGCUCUAAUCUUUGAAACAUUAGAGUAGUAAUUAAUAGAUUAGACGUGGUGUUUAGUCUUGCAAUUACCUGGAAUUGCACCCAAUCCUGUGGAUUGUUGUGGUAGCCCUAGGGUAGUGACAGCCCUAACGGUCGAUGUAUUCCACCUCGUUCGGAUCGGUGUUUGUAGGACCGUAGUCAGACCUUCCUAGCCCCCUUCUCAUCUCUUUCUAUGGUUAGUGCUCUGAUGUCCUGAAAUAGCUAAUCUUGAAGUAAUUCUUAGAUCAACUAGAGAACUCUCAGGAAACUUCCUCUCUUCCCACUAAAAAUAAUUAUAUAAGUUAUCUUUGGGAGAUCUUGAAUCUUAAUUAGUACACUCACGUUCCCUGUGGAAAAUCGAUACUCUGGAAUACUCCCGGGUGAAGGCUACAUCGGUAUCCGUGCGCUUGCGGAUUUUUCUGUUUGCGUUUAAAUUACCCAACAAUGCCCACGUAGUAUUCUUCUCCUUGUUGAUGUAGAACCACUGCUUCGCUUUCCCCAAGAGUGAGAAUGGGAAAAGGCGAAGUAAUAUAGCAUCUCUAGAGACAUCCUUGAUAGUGAAAGUGCUAUCUCCACAAAGUGUUGGAGAUGAGCACUAGCAUCUUCAUGGGCCUUCCCAUAGAACUGGCUUGUUUGCACU
rnacentral:lncRNA from 1 species